rnacentral:tRNA from 1 species
GCCGUCGUAGCUCAGCCCGGUAGAGCGGCCGCAUUGUAGGCGGCAGGUCGCGAGUUCGAAUCUACGCCGACGGCACCA